UGUAUGACCACAUCUUGAGAGAUCCAGGUUAAACCUAUUGACCACAUCUACGUAUCUCUGACCAUUAAAUUCCACCUCUUGAUGCCUGUACACUGGGGAAUGUCCUCAAUGUUCAGAGAAGCAGAAGUUCACUAAAGAUAAUGCAGACAGAUAAGAAAAGGAACUUAAAAUUUAAAAGAAGCAAAAGUCAACAUAAAAUCAGAGUUUCAGCUGUGUAUUAAAACGUUCUUUAGAGCGUCUGAGAAAUUGAUCAUGGCCCUCCUCCUUCACUAAAAUGAUUACAUCAGCUCGUCAGACAAAGUAGAUUUUCAAG